UGCAUAUCCAAAAAGCGGAGGAAAAGAAACCACAGGGAUUGCCCUAGUACGGCGAGUGAGCGGCAACAGCUCAAAUUUGAAAUCUGGCUCUUUCAGAGUCCGAGUUGUAAUUUGCAGAGGGCGCUUUGGCUUUGGCAGCGGUCCAAGUUCCUUGGAACAGGACGUCACAGAGGGUGAGAAUCCCGUACGUGGUCGCUAGCUAUUGCCGUGUAAAGCCCCUUCGACGAGUCGAGUUGUUUGGGAAUGCAGCUCUAAAUGGGAGGUAAAUUUCUUCUAAAGCUAAAUAUUGGCCAGAGACCGAUAGCGCACAAGUAGAGUGAUCGAAAGAUGAAAAGCACUUUGGAAAGAGAGUCAAACAGCACGUGAAAUUGUUGAAAGGGAAGCGCUUGCAGCCAGACUUGCUUGCAGUUGCUCAUCCGGGCUUUUGCCCGGUGCACUCUUCUGCAGGCAGGCCAGCAUCAGUUUGGGCGGUGGGAUAAAGGUCUCUGUCAUGUACCUCUCUUCGGGGAGGCCUUAUAGGGGAGGCGACAUACCACCAGCCUAGACUGAGGUCCGCGCAUCUGCUAGGAUGCUGCGUAAUGGCUGUAAGCGGCCCGUCUUGAGACAAACGGACC
rnacentral:rRNA from 1 species